UAGAUGUGAUGAUUAACAAUUGGUCCGUGUUUCUGAUUUUACCGUGACCGACAACCCUUAACCACUUCUGAUCUA